rnacentral:rRNA from 1 species
UGGGGAAUAUUGGACAAUGGGCGAAAGCCUGAUCCAGCCAUGCCGCGUGUGUGAAGAAGGUCUUCGGAUUGUAAAGCACUUUAAGUUGGGAGGAAGGGCAGUAAGCGAAUACCUUGCUGUUUUGACGUUACCGACAGAAUAAGCACCGGCUAACUCUGUGCCAGCAGCCGCGGUAAUACAGAGGGUGCAAGCGUUAAUCGGAAUUACUGGGCGUAAAGAGCGCGUAGGUGGUUCGUUAAGUUGAAUGUGAAAGCCCCGGGCUCAACCUGGGAACUGCAUCCAAAACUGGCGAGCUAGAGUAGGGCAGAGGAUGGUGGAAUUUCCUGUGUAGCGGAGAAAUGCGUAGAUAUAGGAAGGAACACCAGUGGCGAAGGCGACCACCUGGGCUCAUACUGACACUGAGGUGCGAAAGCGUGGGGAGCAAACAGG